UACGUAGGGGGCGAGCGUUAUCCGGAUUUAUUGGGCGUAAAGCGUGUGUAGGCGGUUUAUUAAGUUUAAGAUUAAAUUCCGAAGCUUAACUUCGGUUCGUCUUAAAAACUGGUAGACUUGAGUAUAGUAGAGGCAAGUGGAAUUUCUAGUGUAGCGGUUAAAUGCGUAGAUAUUAGAAGGAACACCAGUGGCGAAGGCGGCUUGCUGGGCUAUCACUGACGCUGAGACACGAAAGCGUGGGGAGC
rnacentral:rRNA from 1 species